AGCUCAGUUGAUAGAGCAUUAGCCUUCCAAGCUNUCUCGGGGUCGUUGGUUCGAAUCCGACAAGAG
rnacentral:tRNA from 1 species